rnacentral:rRNA from 1 species
AGAGUUUGAUCAUGGCUCAGAUUGAACGCUGGCGGCAGGCCUAACACAUGCAAGUCGAGCGGAAACGAGUUAUCUGAACCUUCGGGGGACGAUAACGGCGUCGAGCGGCGGACGGGUGAGUAAUGCCUAGGAAAUUGCCCUGAUGUGGGGGAUAACCAUUGGAAACGAUGGCUAAUACCGCAUGAUGCCUACGGGCCAAAGAGGGGGACCUUCGGGCCUCUCGCGUCAGGAUAUGCCUAGGUGGGAUUAGCUAGUUGGUGAGGUAAGGGCUCACCAAGGCGACGAUCCCUAGCUGGUCUGAGAGGAUGAUCAGCCACACUGGAACUGAGACACGGUCCAGACUCCUACGGGAGGCAGCAGUGGGGAAUAUUGCACAAUGGGCGCAAGCCUGAUGCAGCCAUGCUGCGUGUAUGAAGAAGGCCUUCGGGUUGUAAAGUACUUUCAGUCGUGAGGAAGGUAGUGUAGUUAAUAGCUGCAUUAUUUGACGUUAGCGACAGAAGAAGCACCGGCUAACUCCGUGCCAGCAGCCGCGGUAAUACGGAGGGUGCGAGCGUUAAUCGGAAUUACUGGGCGUAAAGCGCAUGCAGGUGGUUUGUUAAGUCAGAUGUGAAAGCCCGGGGCUCAACCUCGGAAUAGCAUUUGAAACUGGCAGACUAGAGUACUGUAGAGGGGGGUAGAAUUUCAGGUGUAGCGGUGAAAUGCGUAGAGAUCUGAAGGAAUACCGGUGGCGAAGGCGGCCCCCUGGACAGAUACUGACACUCAGAUGCGAAAGCGUGGGGAGCAAACAGGAUUAGAUACCCUGGUAGUCCACGCCGUAAACGAUGUCUACUUGGAGGUUGUGGCCUUGAGCCGUGGCUUUCGGAGCUAACGCGUUAAGUAGACCGCCUGGGGAGUACGGUCGCAAGAUUAAAACUCAAAUGAAUUGACGGGGGCCCGCACAAGCGGUGGAGCAUGUGGUUUAAUUCGAUGCAACGCGAAGAACCUUACCUACUCUUGACAUCCAGAGAACUUUCCAGAGAUGGAUUGGUGCCUUCGGGAACUCUGAGACAGGUGCUGCAUGGCUGUCGUCAGCUCGUGUUGUGAAAUGUUGGGUUAAGUCCCGCAACGAGCGCAACCCUUAUCCUUGUUUGCCAGCGAGUAAUGUCGGGAACUCCAGGGAGACUGCCGGUGAUAAACCGGAGGAAGGUGGGGACGACGUCAAGUCAUCAUGGCCCUUACGAGUAGGGCUACACACGUGCUACAAUGGCGCAUACAGAGGGCGGCCAACUUGCGAAAGUGAGCGAAUCCCAAAAAGUGCGUCGUAGUCCGGAUUGGAGUCUGCAACUCGACUCCAUGAAGUCGGAAUCGCUAGUAAUCGUGGAUCAGAAUGCCACGGUGAAUACGUUCCCGGGCCUUGUACACACCGCCCGUCACACCAUGGGAGUGGGCUGCAAAAGAAGUAGGUAGUUUAACCUUCGGGGGGACGCUUACCACUUUGUGGUUCAUGACUGGGGUGAAGUCGUAACAAGGUAACCGUA